rnacentral:rRNA from 1 species
GACGAACGCUGGCGGCGUGCCUAAUACAUCCAAGUCGAACGCUUCUUUUUCCACCGGAGCUUGCUCCACCGGAAAAAGAGGAGUGGCGAACGGGUGAGUAACACGUGGGUAACCUGCCCAUCAGAAGGGGAUAACACUUGGAAACAGGUGCUAAUACCGUAUAACAAUCGAAACCGCAUGGUUUUGAUUUGAAAGGCGCUUUCGGGUGUCGCUGAUGGAUGGACCCGCGGUGCAUUAGCUAGUUGGGGAGGUAACGGCUCACCAAGGCCACGAUGCAUAGCCGACCUGAGAGGGUGAUCGGCCACAUUGGGACUGAGACACGGCCCAAACUCCUACGGGAGGCAGCAGUAGGGAAUCUUCGGCAAUGGACGAAAGUCUGACCGAGCAACGCCGCGUGAGUGAAGAAGGUUUUCGGAUCGUAAAACUCUGUUGUUAGAGAAGAACAAGGAUGAGAGUAACUGUUCAUCCCUUGACGGUAUCUAACCAGAAAGCCACGGCUAACUACGUGCCAGCCACCGCCGUAA